rnacentral:rRNA from 1 species
UUUAAACUGAGAGCUUGAUCCUGGCUCAGGAUGAACGUUGGCGGUGCGCUUUAUGCAUGCAAGUCGUACGGAACUAUAGUUUUCGGAUUAUGGUUCAGUGGCGGACGGCUGAGUAACACGUAGGUAACUUGCCCGUGAGCGGGGGAUAACUUACCGAAAGGUAGGCUAAUACCGCAUGACAUGGAUUUGCCAAAGCAGAUUCAUCAAAGUCGUAAGACACUCGCGGAUAGGCCUGCGGCCGAUUAGCUAGUUGGCGGGGUAAUAGCCCACCAAGGCAGUGAUCGGUAGCUGGUCUGAGAGGAUGUCCAGCCAGAUGGGGACUGAGACACGGCCCCAACUCCUACGGGAGGCAGCAGCAAGGAAUAUUGGGCAAUGGGCGAAAGCCUGACCCAGCGACACCGCGUGGGGGAAGAAGGUUUUCGGAUCGUAAACCCCUUUUCUCAGGGAAGAUAAUGACGGUACCUGAGGAAUAAGGCUCGGCCAACUACGUGCCAGCAGCCGCGGUAAUACGUAGGAGGCAAACGUUAUCCGGAUUUACUGGGCGUAAAGGGAGCGUAGGCGGUUGCUUAAGUCGGGUGUGAAAUCUCCUGACUCAAUCAGGAGGGGUCAUCUGAUACUGGGCAACUUGAGGGCGGCAGAAGGAAACGGAAUUCCGAGUGUAGCGGUGAAAUGCGUUGAUAUUCGGAAGAACACCAGUGGCGAAGGCGG